CAGUAGCCGCGGGAAUACGAAGGGGGCUAGCGUUGUUCGGAUUUACUGGGCGUAAAGCGCACGUAGGCGGACUUUUAAGUCAGGGGUGAAAUCCCGGGGCUCAACCCCGGAACUGCCUUUGAUACUGGAAGUCUUGAGUAUGGUAGAGGUGAGUGGAAUUCCGAGUGUAGAGGUGAAAUUCGUAGAUAUUCGGAGGAACACCAGUGGCGAAGGCGGCUCACUGGACCAUUACUGACGCUGAGGUGCGAAAGCGUGGGGAGCAAACAGGAUUAGAUACCCCCGUAGUCCCUGUCUAUUAUAC
rnacentral:rRNA from 1 species